GUUGAUGGGAAUGUUGUUUGGCUCGAGAUCAUCCAUGCCCCGGACGAAAGCCAUUGAUCAAAGCCAUGUGUGUAUAUAUAGCAUGGAUAGUGAGGGGAGCCUUUGUAUGAUCUCGGACCAGGCUUCAUUCCCGUCAGC
rnacentral:pre_miRNA from 1 species